rnacentral:rRNA from 1 species
CACGUAGGGCGCAAGCGUUGUCCGGAAUUAUUGGGCGUAAAGAGCUCGUAGGCGGUCUGUUACGUCUGCUGUGAAAACCCGGGGCUUAACCCUGGGCUUGCAGUGGAUACGGGCAGACUAGAGGCAGGUAGGGGAGAAUGGAAUUCCCGGUGUAGCGGUGAAAUGCGCAGAUAUCGGGAGGAACACCGGUGGCGAAGGCGACUACCUGGCCUGUUCUUGACGCUGAGGCGCGAAAGCUAGGGGAGCAAACGGG